UACGUAGGCAGCGAGCGUUGUUCGGAGUUACUGGGCGUAAAGAGUGCGUAGGCGGUUUUCUAAGUUUGGUGUGAAAUCUCCCGGCUUAACUGGGAGGGUGCGCCGAAGACUGGAAGGCUUGAGUAUGGGAGAGGUAAGCGGAAUUCCUGGUGUAGCGGUGAAAUGCGUAGAUAUCAGGAGGAACACCUGCGGUGUAGACGGCUUACUGGACCAUAACUGACGCUGAGGCACGAAAGCGUGGGUAGCAAAC
rnacentral:rRNA from 1 species